rnacentral:ncRNA from 1 species
GGUUUUAAUUUUUAACUCUAUUUGUUGUGAUAUCAUAGUUUUAUUUUUUGUUUUUAAGUUAUUUUUUGUAAAAUAUUUUAAUUUUUAUUAUUUUUUAUUGUGGUAUCAAAAAUUUGUUUUUUGAACUGGAUUAGUACCCAGGUAAUCAAAAUUUAUUAAUUCGGGAGUAAAGUUUUGUUUAAACCGAAAAAAUAUUGACUGACCUUAGAUUUUUCUUUGGAAUAUGUGUUUUGUUGGAGAGCCCUCCUUAUUAGUGAAUUUUGUUGGCACAUGUAUGAUUGUUUAGUUUUUAUUUUAUUUUGUAAUGCUUUUUGUUUUGGCAUUUAAAACAGAUAUAUACUUGGCUUAUAAAUUUAUUUUUCAUGUAUUACUAUUAUAAAUUUUUUUUGGAUUAAUUUUUUAUUUUUUUUUGAAAUUGGAAAAGAAAGUAAUUUUUUUUUAAUGUUUUAAUGAAUUUAAUAAAUAAGGUGGUACAAACCAUCCGUCAAUGGCCUAAAGGGGCGUAA